CUUCCUUCUGAGCCGAUGCCCCUCAGCCCCGGAGGAACCGUGCCAGGCCGCUCCCGCCUCUCCUUCCCUCCCCUUCCCUUCUCUUCCCGGCGCAGGCGCGGCCGGCCCGGGAAGGGGGAGCCCAGCGGGUUUCCCGGCAGCGGCGGGUUUCAGGGAACGUCCCUGCUCGGGGUGUGCGCGGCCCGGGUAGUGUCAGGGUGGACAAGUUUAUUAAGAAUGCACAGUAAGAAGACUGCAGUCAGGUACUAUGUUGGGAUUGAUGUUGGCUCAGCGAGUGUUCGAGCAGCUUUGGUCGAUGGCUGUGGGACAGUGGUGGCACAUGCGGAGCAGCCCAUCCAAAUUUGGGAGCCCCAGCCAGACCACUAUGAGCAAUCCUCUGCAGACAUCUGGGCUGCCUGCUGCUCAGUCACAAAGAAGGUUGUCUGUGGAGUGGAUGCUGCCCAGAUUCGAGGGGUUGGUUUUGAUGCUACCUGUUCUCUUGUUGUUCUGGAUAAACAGUUCCAACCUUUGGCAGUCAACUGUGAAGGACAGAACCAUAGGAAUGUUAUUAUGUGGAUGGAUCAUCGUGCAGUGAGUCAAGUCGAGCUCAUCAAUGCAACACAACACAGAGUUUUGAACUACGUUGGGGGAGCAAUGUCUGUGGAAAUGCAACCACCUAAACUGCUGUGGAUAAAGGAGAACUUGCAGGAAUCCUGGGAGAAGGCAGGCUACUUCUUUGAUCUUCCGGAUUUCUUGUCUUGGAAAGCCACAGGUGUCACUGCAAGGUCCCUCUGUACAGUCGUGUGCAAGUGGACGUACACGUCAGACAAGGGUUGGGAUGACAGCUUCUGGAAAAUGAUUGGUUUGGAAUGUUUGGUGAAGGAUAAGUAUGAAAAAAUAGGAAACCACGUCUUGUCUCCUGGAGAGGCCGUUGGAAAAGGUCUAACGCCAGAAGCUGCCAAAGAGCUGGGUCUCCCCGAAGGGAUUGCAGUGGCAGCAUCUCUCAUUGAUGCACAUGCUGGAGGACUAGGAGUAAUUGGAGCAGAUGUGAAAGGACAUAACCUGCCAUGUGAGAACCAGCCGAUUACAUCCCGAGUUGCAAUGAUCUGUGGAACAUCUUCGUGCCACAUGGGGGUCAGUGAAAAACCCAUUUUUGUUCCUGGUGUUUGGGGACCAUAUUUCUCUGCAAUGGUACCUGGAUUGUGGUUGAAUGAGGGAGGUCAAAGUGCUACAGGAAAGCUGAUCGAUCAUGUGGUCCGAGGCCAUGUCGCCUUCCCGGAAUUACAGUCAAAAGCUGCAGCCAGUGCUCACAGCAUAUAUACAUACUUGAACAGUCACCUGGAUCUGAUUAAGAAAUCUUUGCCUGUGGGUUUCCUCACUGUUGAUUUACAUGUUUGGCCAGAUUUCCAUGGUAACAGAUCUCCCUUAACAGAUCUGACACUAAAGGGCAUGGUUGUUGGACUGACAUUGUCCCGGGGUCUGGAUGAACUUGCCCUUAUCUACCUGGCCACGAUCCAAGCCAUUGCUUUAGGAACAAGACAUAUUUUGGAAACGAUGCAGGCUGCAGGACAUGAUAUCAACACGCUGUUUCUGUGUGGUGGGCUGAGCAAGAACCCUCUCUUUGUGCAGAUGCAUGCUGACAUUACUGGGAAGCCUGUUGUCCUGUCCAGAGAGGUGGAGUCUGUUUUGGUGGGUGCUGCUAUUCUUGGAGCUUGUGCUUCUGGGGAUUUUGCAUCUAUACAGGAGGCCAUGGUGAAAAUGGGGAAAAUUGGGAGAGUUGUGCAGCCCAACCACGAGCACAAAAGAUGUUUAUCAUGCAACUUAAAAGAAGGGGAACCACCAUGUCAUCAGCUGCUCCAAGUAUCCUGCAGAGAGGCCCAGGCUUCACAUCAGAUGGAGAAGACAAGCAUAUGGUGGUUCCAAAGAAGCAAACAGCACCUCUGAGGAAAAAAAUCCACGAGACACCCCAAGGUGAAGAUUCUUCACAAGGCAAGAGUCAGGAACAGCAGCAUGUCACACAGUGUUCACCAUCCUGAUCCUGAUUCAACAAGGCACUGAAGCACAAGCUGAAUUUUCAGCCCUCAGGUAACACAUAACCUCUUAUGUGUCAGUAAUAUUGGAAUAGAAAUACACUUAUAACAGCAAUAAUGCCCCUGGUAUUCCUGCUGGAGCACUGAUAAGCUAAACAAAGCACUUUUCAAAGACUAAUAACCGGAUGGGAUUUGUAGCAUAAACAAUGCUCCUUGUUAGUCACCAGUCCCCAGGGCAUCUUCCUCACUUCGUUACAGACAAAUCAGUAACAAAUGAAAUGCUGUGUGUGAUUUCCUGCCCUGGCUGUGUCUCCCUGCUCGCGUGCCAGUGUGAGAGCUGUCAGUUAUUAUUUAUCCAUGGCUGUGUUCACAUCCACAGUGUGAUUUAACUACUUAUUAAAGGUGCCAGACUGGCAGAUGCAGAAGCUGGAGCAGUUUUAUUAUCCAGAGAAGUGACACAGUGUGAGCAGUAAUAUCCUUUCAGGAUGUUCUCGGAAAAUGCUUCACCACAAUGGACUCCUCAAAUCCUUCUCUCCAGCCUUUUCCCAGCUUCUCUACUCCAAGUGUUAAAUUCAAAAAGGCUGCUCACAGAGAUGUCAGUUAGUCCUGUGGUUUUUAGAUGGGAAUGUGGAUACCCUGGAAAAUCAUUUUGAACACAUUAAAUCUAUUUUAGCUAGGCCACUUGACCAUUGGUUAGUACUAACUCAAAAAAGGACCUGAAUGGUUUUAAUACAGAGGUGAAACCUACUCUAACUAAAUAGUAGCAAAAAAGAUUAUUCGUAAAGGGGGAAUGAGCCCAGAGGAUUUCCUUCUGCUGGCCAGGGGCUGUGUGCACAGGCCUGUGGCUCUUCUGCAGUAACUCAGACAUGCUUGUCUUGGAAACUGGAGGCUUAAUUCUGCACUGUUUCAAUAAGCAGGAUUUUGGGUCCAUUUUCUUAUGUCACUCUAAGCCUAUUAUUGCUUGGUUCAAAGCUCUUCCCCACCCCUGGGCACAGCUGGAUGCAGGAGAGCAGGGAAUCUUCUUGCACUUCCAUCAGUGCCUAGGCUUUAAUGGGGAAACUGAGAUUUUAUUUGGCUAAACUCAGUGAAUUUGACUAGAGAAAGGCUGUUAAAUAACAACAGGUUCCUUUCACACAGCUCCAGAAUAUUUUGAGAAAGAUACCGGACACAAGAAAAUCCAAACUUCUGUGAAUCUCUACAUUAAAUCAGUCAAUCCAUGAUUGCCCCAGGCCAGCCAUUCCUGUUUCCUUACUGACUUUAUUGGUCCCAGCACAUGCCUGAAAGUUGCAAUCCUGGAUCCACUUUGCCAACUAUAGGUUGGGAUUUUUGGUGCUAGAUCUUUGCAGAGUCCUUGAAGCACAACUGCAGUGCCAGUCACAGUGUUUGCUGAUAAUGAGCUUGUUGUUUGGCUCUGGAGUUUAAGCUGGCAAACACUCACAUGCCUGAAUUACUUUGCACAGUCCAGUGGUCCCAUCAAAGCCAACAGGUCUGUAUGUGCCAACCACUGGCAUUACUGCAUUAUUAAUUCCCAAUUUUACAAAUCAGGUUUCUUGAUCUACUCCACAAAAGGCUACCUAACCAAAAACUGGGCCUGUGAAGUAUAAAGAUGGGGCUGAGAGGUACAAAGGUGUGAAACAGCAUUCCCUGGCAGUGUUUUGGAGCAAGGCCUGUGUAAUGGCCUUUGACCACUGAGGGGUUUUCGACUGAGACAGUUUUGCAUGAUGCACCCUCAGUGAGUCCCAUCUGUGACCCUAAUUCCAUCCUGGAAUGUAAGACUGGGAGCUGCUGGGUAUGUAGGCAGGCUUCACAGAAUUCUGCCCAGAUGAGGAGCUCAGCUGAGAACCUGUUCCUGUGCACGAGCAAAGCACGUCUGAGCAGCUGCCAGUGGAGGGCAGCAGGAAAGCAAGGGAGGAAUCUCUGUAAGCACAAACAGAAGGAACUGGCUGGUAAAAUCAGACCAUAGUAACCUUUAGCUUCACAAAUGAUGCAAGUGCAAAAUGCAAUUUUGUUAGAAAUGCCAGUAAAUACAAUUGCAACUUCCCAGCCCUGCUCAGAGGGAACAGUCUGUUGAAGAGACUAGACCCCCAGCUGUAGGAAUUGGCUUUCCCUCUUUGGAAUAUACUGUAUCAAGAGAACCUUCAAAUAUGAAAGAAUAUAUGUUCAAAAUUUUUAGGCAAACUGAAUCUUAUUUUCCAAGAAAACCAAGAAAAACGACAUUGAUAUAAAAAUGAUGGGAAAUCUGAAAUCAGUUUUGACAGAUGCACAGUAACUUUUUUAUUUAAUACAUAAAUAUUGCAGUUAGUAUCAGAAUAAUUCAUCCUGCACUUCACAUACCUGUAGCUCUCCCACUCUGAUUAGCUGUGGUUGGGUUUGAGACAUUGCUGUGUUAUUCAAUAGCAAGUGAGAGCUGUGACAUUUUCACUCAGUGUUUCUAUUUUUCAACACAGACUCUUCUUCAGCUAGAGAAUACUAUUUAAAUAAUUCAUUUAAAAACAUAUCUUUUAGUAAUUUUUUACACCAACUUACAGAUGUUGAGAAAGAAAUACCCUUUAACAAGUUAGCUGUUGAUUUUCCACUUAAAAAUAAUGAAUCAAGUUAUUAACAUUUUAUUCAGUGAAUCUUCUAUGCUGAUAAAGUUUAUGAAUAAUAAAGAUAAUGGUAUAUAACUGGUACAAUGGAACACAGAGUUUUGAAAAUUAUUUUGUUUAAAGAGAUUAGAGAUAUUACCAGAAUUAGUUUCUCUAGUAGUACGUACCAGUACCCUGGUACAGAAUCAAUCUAUGGGGAUUUUCUUUUUGGAAAUUAAGUUUGUGAUUUCCCUGAUCCUGCAAAAAAACAGAAUUCUGAGCUUACUCAUGGAGUAAUCCCAGACUGUGGUGAGAACUGAAAGUAUUUGGACAAUAUUAAUUAAGUGUGAGAAUAUUCCCAGGAUCACAAUCUCCAGAAUGGCCUUGUUUGGACACAAACCCACCUGCCAAGCUGGUGCCUUACAAGUCACCACAUGGCCCCGCCUCUUUGAUGCACCUGUGGAAAGAGGAUCUCAGAGUGGGAAUGUGGAUUUGUUUGUGACCAGCACGCCUCUGUCACAGUUCAUAUCCCAGUCCUGCAUUUUUUCUCAUGGGCACCAACUGAAAUUGUAUCUGAGACAUUUAAUACAUGUGAAUUUGCAAAGCCAGGAGCUGUUACCGUGACAGAGCAAACAGUUCCAUGAUGUCAGUGAACGUCAGUGGAAUGCUGGAACUGCCAAAGCCCACUUUCACUUGUGACCUUGGUCAGUAAAAAAGAUAAGAGCGCUAAAAUAGAAGGGCAGGUAUCAGGGAGAAAUAAAUGAAAAGGCAGAAAUAAAAAAAACACAGAUAGAAGAUUGACAAAUGUUAGGGAACGACUAAGGCAGCAAGAGCAGGCCUGGAGGGGAUGUGACAGUGGCAAAGCAGGGUCUGGCUGAGGAGAAGUGUUGUUGCAGAGCUGUAUUUUAUUCUGCUCUUAAAAGUUCCUGAUUCUGAGGUGUUGCCCUGAGAAAAUCGAAGUGGAUCAUUCCUUAAAGAUGUUAACCAUUUACUCUCCUGCUGUACAGGGCCAAAAGGUACAAUUCCAAGACCUGGUCUCUUUUAUGAGCACAGGUAGGUAGUUUUCCACCUCUGACCUGCUUUGUCUCCAGUAUAGCUUUUUAUGGAAUUUAAUGAGCUAUCACAGCUAUUGGCUCUGUGGCUCUAUUUCCAUCUUUUCUCUUUAAGUUUAUCAAUGCCUAUUUCACUGACAUAUGAGAAACCUUAAAUAAUAUUUGUAAAAGCAGUUGCUAUUUUUUUCUGAAACUGCUGUAAUAAACUAAAUAUUAUUA